rnacentral:rRNA from 1 species
GAUGAACGCUGGCGGCGUGCCUAAUACAUGCAAGUAGAACGCUGAAGGAGGAGCUUGCUCUUCUGGAUGAGUUGCGAACGGGUGAGUAACGCGUAGGUAACCUGCCUGGUAGCGGGGGAUAACUAUUGGAAACGAUAGCUAAUACCGCAUGACAACAGUUAUUGCAUGAUAACUGUUUAAAAGGGGCAACUGCUCCACUACCAGAUGGACCUGCGUUGUAUUAGCUAGUUGGUGAGGUAACGGCUCACCAAGGCGACGAUACAUAGCCGACCUGAGAGGGUGAUCGGCCACACUGGGACUGAGACACGGCCCAGACUCCUACGGGAGGCAGCAGUAGGGAAUCUUCGGCAAUGGACGGAAGUCUGACCGAGCAACGCCGCGUGAGUGAAGAAGGUUUUCGGAUCGUAAAGCUCUGUUGUAAGAGAAGAACGAGUGUGAGCGUGGAAAGUUCACACUGUGACGGUAUCUUACCAGAAAGGGACGGCUAACUACGUG